UUAGGAUCUAGACCUGGCAUAUCUUCAUACGACCAUGCAAAAAUGUCCGGAUAUUCCCGGAGGAGCUGGAUGAUAUUCUUUUUAACCCCUUCCUCUAGAGCAACACCGAUCUUGAUUUCUCGCUUGUUUUCCUCGGUACCUAUGUUGAUAAGCUCAAUCUCUUCCUGG
rnacentral:pre_miRNA from 1 species